AUACGUAGGGGGCAAGCGUUGUCCGGAAUUAUUGGGCGUAAAGGGUGCGUAGGCGGGUAUGUAAGUCCGGUGUGAAAUGCUUCGGCUCAACCGAGGAGUUGCAUUGGAAACUGCGUAUCUAGAGUUCAGGAGAGGGAAGCGGAAUUCCUAGUGUAGCGGUGAAAUGCGUAGAUAUUAGGAGGAACACCAGUGGCGAAGGCGGCUUCCUGGACUGUAACUGACGCUGAUGCACGAAAGCUGGGGUAGCGAACAGGAUUAGAUACCCUGGUAGUCCCAGCCGUAAACGAUGGGUACUAGGUGUUGUCACUUCAUUGUGGCAGUGCCGCAGUUAACGCAUUAAGUACCCCGCCUGGGGAGUACGGCCGCAAGGCUGAA
rnacentral:rRNA from 1 species